UCCCUGGUGGUCCAGUGGCUAAGACUCUGCACUCCCAGUGCAGGGGCCACAGGUUCGAUCCCUGGUGGGGGAA
rnacentral:tRNA from 1 species